rnacentral:rRNA from 1 species
AUUGAACGCUGGCGGAAUGCUUUACACAUGCAAGUCGAACGGUAGAGGGGGCAACCCCUCGAGAGUGGCGAACGGGUGAGUAAUAUAUCGGAACGUGCCCAGUCGUGGGGGAUAACGUAGCGAAAGUUACGCUAAUACAGCAUACGAUCUAAGGAUGAAAGCGGGGGAUCGCAAGACCUCGCGCGAUUGGAGCGGCCGAUAUCAGAUUAGGUAGUUGGUGGGGUAAAGGCUCACCAAGCCAACGAUCUGUAACUGGUCUUAGAGGACGACCAGCCACACUGGAACUGAGACACGGUCCAGACUCCUACGGGAGGCAGCAGUGGGGAAUUUUGGACAAUGGACGCAAGUCUGAUCCAGCCAUUCCGCGUGCAGGAUGAAGGCCCUCGGGUUGUAAACUGCUUUUGUACGGAACGAAAAGGUCUCUCUUAAUACGGGGGACUCAUGACGGUACCGUAAGAAUAAGCACCGGCUAACUACGUGCCAGCAGCCGCCGUAA